rnacentral:rRNA from 1 species
GACGAACGCUGGCGGCGUGCCUAAUACAUGCCAGUAGCACGCAGUUGCGAACGGGUGAGUAACGCGUAGGUAACUGCCUCAUAGCGGGGGAUACCUAUUGGAACCGAUAGCUAAUACCGCAUACUGUGAGAUGGCCCUGAGUUGUAUUAGCUAUUUGGUGAGGUAAAGGCUCACCAAGGCGACGUUACAUAGCAGACCUGAGAGGGUGACUGGCCACACUGUGACGGGGACACGGCCCAGACUCCUACGGGAGGCAGCAGUAGGGAAUCUUCGGCAAUGGACGGAAGUCGGACAGAGCAAAGCCGCGUGAGUGAAGAAGGUUUUCGGAUCGUAAAGCUCUGUUGUUAGAGAAGCGGUAACUAAACAGAAAGGGACGGCUAACUACGUGACAGCCGCCGCGGUAAUUC